UCCCAGCGGAGCGCCUACGAUGCCCGCGCACGGUAAGGAGCGCGGGAUGCGAGGUCUGCCGCUGCCCCGGCGGGGAGGGGGGAUGGCCUCUUCCUUUCGCUUGGACGUUGGGCCUGUCUCGUACUGCUUGAGGCUGGAGCCGGCAGGUGUGAUGGAGAGGUGGUUUUCAGUGGUGCCAAGUACGUUGUACAUUAAGCACCUGAUGGAAGGACCAUCGCAAGUAGAAGAAUACUUGGUACAGACAAGUGGAUUUUCCUGAAAAACGUAGUGGCAUGAACAAUUUCUAGUAAUGGCAAUGUGACGUCCUGAAGAAAGAUUUCCUCACAACAGGAAAUGAAACAGAGGAAAACAAGUGUUUUAUAGAAAACAAGUAGGAGCAAGUGCUUUUGGCUUAUUCAGUCAUGAAUUGGAGUGCUUUGUCAGAACUGCCUGACAAAUGUGGAUGAUGUAACCAGAAGGAAGUGUAACACCUGAAGACAUAUUGUGGCUUGAAAUGGGAUGCCAUGCUUUUAAAAGCCUGCUAAAACAGCUGCCAUUUUGUUCAGUACUCUCACUGCAUAUUUAAAAUGUCGUCCUUCCAGAAUACUGAACUGACUCCUGUAGGAAGUGUAGCAGUAAUAUUAGGGAAAGGAGUACAUGAAAACCUUUUGGUUUUUUAACCUUUUAAAAAACCGUAUGUGUACACAGUCUUGCAGAUACUACAGAUCUGUGAUAACUAAGGAGUGGAGCUCACAGGCAGGCCCUAUAAAGGCAGGGUGAAAGCAAAGAAAAAAACAAUGUCUACAUCUUGCAUCACUGUAUCUAGUAGUGGAGUGAGGAGUUGGGGUUUUAUAGACUGCCUUUUCAGCAGGAUAAGACUAAUAUCACAACAGUGGAACUGCUCUUUGAGGAAUACACUGGCACAACAGUACUUGCUUGCUCUCUGGGGCAAUGAGGUUCUGUGGGAAAAGAGUUACAUACAUGGGAACUUGGGCUUUUGUCUUGGUAUGAAAAGACAGGACAGGUGACUGCUAAGGAACGCAAGAGCCUCCCUUGAAAUGGGAAAUGUAAACCUCUUCUCUCCAAAUUAUGAUUUUGAAAUUAGGGCCUCUCGGGCAAAGAUACGGGAGUAAGAAUAACAGUUCUUUAUUUGGAAUAAUAAAAGAAAAAAUAAAAAUUCAGUAAUACAAAACAACACAAACUCAGUCAGAAUACGACCUCUCACCCUGUUGGUCAGAGUGUUGGUAACAGUCCUAAUUAAAUGGUGGCUGCAGUUCUGGAGUGACAUCUGUGAUGCUGUUCGAGCAGUAGUCCUCUGGAAGGCUGUAGUUUUCCUCUGAAGGUCCAGUGAUGGUGUAGAUAGGCCUGACCUUUCUCUGGGAAUCCAAUGGAGAAGAAGGGUGCUCUGAAAAUCCAAUGGGAGAAGGCUGACUGUGGUGUUCUGAAUCUUAGAUUAUAUCCAGGUAGGAAUGCUUGGGCCCUCCCCCUGGGCAGAACAUCUCAAAAUGGGAUGAUGUAAUUUUAUCAAUCAUGCAGUGAGACUCAAAGGCUUUUUGACAGAAGAUGCCUUCCUGGAGGGAGGAUCCCUUGUGGAAGAGAUAAAGAAAACUGCCCAGUUAACAAAAGAUAACAGCCCUAUCUCUUAACAGAUGGCAAAUCGAAUACACACCCCCAGCUACAUCUUGCAACUUAAGACAGCUUUUAACAGUCACUUAAAAGAGCUGGUGCUGUAAUCACAGUAACACCAUAUUUGCUGUAUUCAGCAAGCUGUCCCACAGAGGAAUGAAGGAUCAUAAAUUGGUCAUCAACUACAUUUAAAGACAACUCAUGGUGUACAUAAGGUAAAAUUAGCAUUAAGCAUCACUUUCAAGCCUUAUUGUCAGGAAUUCUUUAUAACAGCAGAAGCAUGACAGUAGCAUCUUUUAAAAUUCAUAGACCUGCUAUUACUCAAUCAUUUUGAAAUCUCCAAAAUACAUAAAACAACCCUAUAGUUCAUGGUGUUUACCUGUUCAUCAGUGAUAAAUUCCAUGAAAAGUCCAGUUUUCUGUCAAAGUACUAUGAAGUAUAAACACUACUAGGAACAGCACAUAAAGCACAUAUCUUUGAUGUUGGAAAUAUCAAAAAUAAUUACACUACUGAAGUGGAUGCUAAGGAUCUGACUGAACUCCAGGAGUGCAUUGGCUCACUGAGCAUCUCCUAUGGUUUGCUUAUUAAGCAGUGGCCAGCUACUUUGGCUAAAGGCUGCUCAUUUUGAGCAAGGAAUGGUAAAUCAGUCUAUUGAAUAUCAAGAUCUGCAGAAAUGAGCUAAAAGAUAGCUUUGUCUUCAUUGCUUUCAACAAUACUUAUUUCUGUUAACAAAUGUUACUGAGAAUGGUGUGUUUUUUGAUGUGCCAUGUUUUGUACAUGCUUUUAAAUAAAGAUAAGGCUGUUAAAGUCAUGGCUGUUGCAUGUCAGCUGAGGAUCACACCCACGGUGUUCCUUGACUGCUUGUACUUCUCGAGCUAUGGAGGCAAUGUAGCCGUGUGCUGACUGGUGCAGCAUGUACUGGGCACACAAAGCUUCAAGUUCUGCUUGAGUGACUCCAGGACAAAAACUGCUGACUGCGUACUGAAGAAGUCAGAAGGUAAGGUUAUUCUCAACCUUGUGCCCUCUGCAAAUGUACAAGUGGGUGCUGUUAACCGUAUUUAAUAGAGCUGCUUGGCUGGUUAAGUAGAAGUUUUCAGUCCUAGCUAGGUCAGUCUCUUCUGGAUGUUAAGAUGUCAAAGAGACAUGGUUGACAGAAUAGCAGGAUUUGGUAAGUACUUUAAAUAUUUAAGGCAGAUAUGACUUGAUUACAGGAUCAGAUGAGUGGCAUGUGGUUUUGAGAAAAGUACCACCUUUAUCCUUGAGGCUGAUGUUAAACCAGAAUGUUAACCUUUACAGAGAAUGCUAUAUGUAGGUGCAGUAAAGCUGGUGAAAGUGAGUUUAUCUUGUGAUGUUUGGGAUGACAUAGAAGACUAAAGGUUCGUGGUUGUGGGUGGCAGUUCAGGUACCCAAAGUACUUCAUGACAGUCUUGCUCCGUAUGUUCUAAAACAUUUGUUGUGGAUGGUCUGGAGGUAGGAUUGACAGCAACAGCUAAAGAAAUAAAGUUACGUCAUAUCAGUGUGGUGGAGGUGUGUCUCAAUGUUGAAUCGUGAAAAAGAUUGGCCUCUGAGCAUAUAAAAAAAAAGUAGCUGUGGCCAAUGGUAAGGCAUAUUGAAUACUGAGCUAUAGAACUUAAGGAAUGAUCCUAUACUUCCGAGCUACUGAAAAUAGGUAGCCAAUUAAAAAAUGUGUAUUAGUAGUAUAGGGAGUCGUGUUUACAAAAGUGCAUUACUGUUUUAACCCUGACAUGUUCCAGAGGAUCUGGUUUAUAAGACCAAUGAAGAUUAUGUAGGAAGGUCAUGUUUGUAAAUUUAACAUGGAAAAGAUUACUUUUGUGCCUUGUGGGAGUGGGUUACUGUGUUUUCAAACCUUCAAACCAUUUGUCGAUUUAGUUCUGGUAAAUUUUCUGGAGUGAUGUUCAGUACAAGUGAGAUAAAGAGAUGUAGUCUUGGAGAGUAACUGUGUGACACAUUUGGAAUAUGUGGCAUGGGAUUUCUCUGCAAAAGCGUUUCAUGAAACUUCAGGUUUACAAAACAGAUUAUUAAAUUCAAAGCUUUAAGAUUGUGCAGUAAACAGCAUGAAAGCAUUUUGCUGCUUUUGUGCUUUAGUCCAGUGAAGUCUUGCACUAGCCAUCAUUAGUGGGGAGCUAGAAGUGUCACAUGGCUGUUGGGCUGUGGUCCAAGAAAUCAGUGGUUAAACAAACUGUUCUGGAAUGUUGCCAUUUAUUGGUCUUAGUAACUGGGCAAAACCAGCAGAGGCUUAGUAAUUAAAUGAAUGUUGAGCUUACAAGCAAGAAAAGUACCUUGCAACCACAUGGAAUAUUCGAGAGUAGCUCUGCUAAAUGCUUUGCUACUACUGAAGUAACAAGGUCCUUAUUAAGGUGGGAGGUUUUGUCUUGCUGAAGAACUUGUCUUACUAGUGAAGGCUGUGAUCUAUAAUCAAGAGUUGCAAGUGGGUGAAACUAAGCUAGCAAUGGUUAUCUUGCCACAGCACCCACACUGCUAUGUGACUGCCAGUGCUGGUGUGAGACCUGCUUGAAGUAGCAGAUUCCAGUGAACAGGAAUUUCAGAAUAAGCUGUGCUGUCUGGCUGCCAUCCUGUAGAGGAGUGUGUGACUGUGGGUGCAACUAUAUGGUGUGCUGGUGUUGGGGUUCCUACCAUCUUUCCUGCAGGAAAGCUCUUAACUGUAUACAUUUGCCAUACAAAGUUUGGGGUAUCUGUUCUGCCAAUUAAAAAUCAGUAUCGAAAUGAGCUGAUAAAAGCAUUCCAUGGGUCAUUCAACCAUGGACACAGCAAAACCAACAAGUGUUUGACUUUACCCAAGGAAAGGCAUUCUAUAUACCAGAGUGUUCAGUCCUAAAUUUGGUAGCUUUUCUUCACAUUCCCUUCCUUUGUCCAGAGGACAAUCUUUGAGCUAUCAUCUGGAGUAUGAAUGAAUUUACCAGAAAAAUAGUAAUUUCAGAUGAGUGGAGUACACAUGGAGGCUUAUUAUGCUAUGUAAAUGCAUGUCUGAUGAUGUGCAUUCUUUAUUUUUUGGUGUUACAGCUGGUUUUAUGAGCAUUUUUGGUUGUCUGCCCUUGUAUUUCACUCAGGGGAUGUAAACUGGAAAAGUACAGUUAGAAUGAUGAAUUCUACUUCCUCUCAAACAUCAUGUGGCUUUUUAGUUGAUAGUCCAGUUGAGCUAUCAGGGCUAUGAAGACAGUACUUCUCUGCCAUUGUCUCAAACUUCCUGCAGGCUCCGGAGGACAAAGUGGUGUUUGAUGCUCAGAAGAAUGGCUGUAUUGAGUGGGACAAAGUCUGCCUCGUUCAGUAUUCUGUCUGAGGAUGACCAGUAUAAGGAACAGAAGUAUACAGAGCUUUUCCAGCAGUUUUCUUGGGAAUCUUCUGAGAUUUUAAUUUGUGUUUGAAUACUACUUUGCAAUUAUGACCUAUCUCCAUUUAAAAAUAUUUGAAACAUCAAUGAUAUGUGGGCUGUAAAAUAGACAUAGUGAGUAUGUUAAUAAGUGUAGGGAGGGGGCUGAAGUAAAAGCUUUUUUUUUCCCCUUUCUGGAGCUGAUGUCACUUUUGAUUCUCAUGUUACUGAAAACAGUGGUAAGUGAAGCUCAGUGAGGGCCCCUGUGCAAGGACAGCCUUGCUGUUUAAUAGAGCUGUGUUGGGCAGGAAAACUUGAAGUACUCAUGUGUGCCCCUACCCCUGAGCUGUACUUCAGGCUUCUCACCAGACCAAAAAGCACUCUUUUUCUCUGAAACUGGAGUUCUCCCUAACUGAAGGAGCACUCUCCCAGCAUCCAUGGAACUAGUUUUAUCGUGUCAGGUGAAGAAUGAUUAGUAUCUGUCCCAAAAUGAAGUUCCUUUUUUUUUUAUGGAAAGAAAGAGAUGGACUGUAAUAUAACAAAUGCUUAGACUUUCCAAUCAACUUACCAACUUCAAAGUAAAGGUAUUUUUAAAUAGUUUUAAGAUCACUGAAGAAGAAUAUACAGCUAUUGCUAUAUCUAGGUUUCAUCUUACCUUGACAAAAUAGGAAAUAAUUUGCUCUAGGCUUACCUUGGUUUCUUUCAGAGUCAGGACUAUUUCAGAUACUAGGGUCCUGUGAAAAACAUUUGAGACUUAAACUCUUGUGUGUCUCAAGGUUUAAGCCCAGCCAGUAACUGACUACUGCAUCCCACCUGCCCUCGUAGGAUGGACAGGAGAAUAUGAGGAAAGGUAAAAGCAAUGGACUGAAAGGGGAACAGAAUUGAAAUUAAACAUAAUAAUUUUACCAUAAAGGAAGACAACAAAAAGAAACUCCAAGGUAAACAAGUGAUGAUACACAAUACAAUUGCUGAUCACCUGCUAACAGACCCAGCCUGGGUGAUGGAUCCAUGCUUCCUGGUCAGCUUCCCCCACUUUAUGUACUGGGCAUGACAUGCUAGUAUAGAAUAUCCUCUUGGCCAGUUUGGGUUAACUGUCCUGGCCUUGCUCCCUCACGGCUUCUUGAGCCCCUCCUGACUUGCAGAGACUUCUGGUUGUUGCUAAGUAGUGCUACCCCAACAUCAAACCAUUAUUAACUAUUCUCAUACUUAAUCUAAACCACAGCACUAAGAAGUACCAGCUACUAAGAAGAAGACUAAUCCAGCUGGAACCAUGAUGGUCUGUUAGCUCUGUCUAGUAGUUAGGUCAUUUUCUGCAGCAAAAAAUACAAGCGACGUUGCUGUCUUUUGUUUCAUGCACUCCACCAGAAAGUACAAUAUUGAAACAAGGUGAGGGGCAGUUCUUACUGUGAUUGUGACUUCAUAACUGAAACAGUUCAUGGUAUGAUUAUUCAUUCCAUAGAAUAUUCGAAUAAGCAUUUUCUGAAAGUAGUUGGAUUAUGUAGUUUCUGAUUCUGAACAUUUUAUUAAACUGCCUAUUUGCUACUGCAAACAGAAAGAGAAGUUUGGUUUGUGGGAAUUAGUGCUUCUUUCCCUCUUCCUGUUCCACAGAUUAUAAACCACACAAUAUAAAAAAAUGUAACGGCAGGAACAGGAGUUACCUCUAAAACAUCUUGAAAUUGCAAUUUAUAAUAGAUACUAUUUCAGUGCUGAGUGUUUCCUCAAAAAAUCUGCAUGGCAGGGAAGAGUGUCUAGGCUUUUGAAAGUGUUUCUGAAGUAGUACUCUUACACUUGUCUGAACUGGCUUGUCUUCAUUUACAUGUACUUCAACUUAAUUUCUGUUGCUAGUGAGAAGCUGUUCAGUGUAGUUUCUGCUAAUUUGACAUCCAGGAUGUAAGGCUGCUGGAAACCUUUUUUCCAUUUAAAAAGAUCUUAAUAUGGUGAUCCUUUGGCAGGGAUUGACUGCAAGGUGUUCUGUCGUGGUUUUCCCGUGUUCUUAAAUGCUAUGAGAAGAUGUCAGGAAAUUCCAUGAGUACUUUCUCCUGAGAGUAUUAUAUAGUUUCUAGUUUUAUAAUUGCAAAAGUAAUACUGAACAAUUGUAGCUACUGCUUGUUUAUUUUCUAUAAAAGUGCAGUCCCUUUAUUGAGCCAUGGUGGAAAUGUGAAAAUCCAGAGCUUUUACCUUACAAAUAUGAUUUGUUAGGAGCUGCAGAUGUGAAGAGACCUGUGGUGUAAGGACCAUUUGCUUUCUGAUGGCUAUUGCCUGACAGCACUAACUUUUAAGGGAAAAUAGCCACUUAGCUUUGGUUUUUGGUCGAAGAAACUUGACAGUGACCAGGAUGAUUCACUAUAAUAAAACUCUCUCACCUACCUGUAAGAGAAGAAGAGGAAUUCUGUUAUUCUGAGGUAGUGCUCCUGGAGGUGCUCUGUCUCUUUGUUUUAUCUGCUGUUUUUUCCUAAGGGCUACUUGGAGUUCUCUAGUGGUGAUUUUUUUCUUUUGAGGUGAGACUAGGAUAUCCUAAAGUAUUGUUGACUAUUAACUAGUAAAAUGCAUUUAAAAUGAGGUAGGAAGUAUGCAUAUUUGGUCUUUCCUGAAGUUACAUCUUUUAUAGAAAUCUUGAACUUCUACAGAUAAUCUUCUCUAUCUCCCACCAUAAAAUUUCUUACACUGGGCCAAGGUUGGGACCUUGUUGUCCAAAACUUUUAUAUUGCACUCAGUUUUGCCCCAGUCUCUUCAAGAUACUAUUCCUCCUCUUCUAUACUAGUCUUGUAUUGCUUGCCUUUUAACAGUUAUGUAUUAAACAUAAACCACAAAAAUUCUGUAAGACUACUGCAUAAGCAUUCAGUAUUAAUCCCAGAAGGGCUGUAAGAAUAUAUGAAACUUCUGUGAAGGGAAAAAAAGAAAGAUCUCUGGGACUCGAGGAUAUAGUAACAAAAUAGAAAUUUGUGAUGAGUUUUAAAACAAGACCAGCUCCAACAGUUGAUGUAAUUUGACAGCUGUGAUUUGCUCUUCAGAAAUCAGAGACAGAGCUUGCAAAUAAGUCACUUAUGAGGUAAAUUGCAGAUCUAUCAGCAAGGACAGCUAGCAGGGCUUCAGAUUGUUUUAGAUAUGGAAGGGAAAUACUUCUUUCUCUACUUCUCUGUUCUCACUGAGCUAUCUGCUGGAAAGUUUCAGGCUAUAAAAGUAGGUGUUAGGAAAAAAAGUGGAAGGUGAGUAUUAUUUUAAAUAAAAACCUUUUUCUACUCACAAUUAAUGUAAUAGGGCUAAAACUCAACUGUACUUUGUAUAGAAUUCUCCAAAAAGCCAUGACCAUUUUUCAGUAAUAUCUGUUUUGUAGAAAUAGGCUUGGUUGAACUUGCUCUUCUCUCCUUGAUUAUUUUCAAGUUUGGCUGGGAAACAGGCACCUCAAAUUCAUUAAAAAGGCAGAAAUUAACGUCUGUGAAGAUGACAGCCUUUUCUAUAGCAGCAGCAAAAAGGACUAUCAGCAGAAUUGGCAUCUGGCCCUGGAAGCAAAACAUUCUGAGCUUCUGCUAAAGCUUCCAAAAGAAGCAUGAAAAUGAGAUUUUAGAAAAUUCUUGGGCUGUCUUGAUUUCAUAUGCAGUCUAAUCCUACUGCUCAACUUUGGUGAUUAAAAUAAAUAAUAUAGAAAAUAUUGUCUUGGGCCAAGAAACAGAAAGUUAUGAAGUAUUUCUUUUCUGUGGUUCACUGAGGUAGUCUCCCCUUUUGCUGGGAUUUAACCUCAACAUGAACUUGGUCAUUGUUGGAGUGCAUAGACUCACUGCUUGCUAAGACAUCUGACUAGCACUUGGGAUGGCAGAGGCUCAGAGGAAAAGCUGAUGUGUUACCAGCACUACUGUUACCCUAAGGAUGGAAGAAAUAGAAGAAACCAUUUGUGUCACCUGGCUGAGCUAUAGAAAACAGGUGAACUUCUAGGCUGGGAAUGUCUCAUGUUCAGGGUUCAUUGUGUUGGUUUUUGUUUUGGUGUAGAAUGGGGGUUUUUGUGUAUAGCUUACAAAAGUUUCUACUUUAACAGCCUUCCCUUCUUAAUUCUGGUUCUAAUUUUUUUCCAUUGUGCACUGAGACUGGAGGAGUUUGAAAUCUUUUCAGACUAAAAAAAUUAUUCUGCACUUUCCUCACUGCCUCUUUUGGCUGCAGCAGGUCUGUAUCAAUACUGUUGAUCUGAAAUUUGUUAAGAGUUUUUAUGCAUCAAGUUUACUAACCAGGACUGUUUAAAGGGAUUAAAAUAAAAGUUGGUACUAAAUUACAAACCUUUGCUUUUUAGUGUCAUAAGAUCAUCUCUUGGGUAAGAAUUAUUUUAUAAUUUUUCUUAUGAGACACAUAAGAUGUGGAUAUGGCAGUAAAAUCUAAAAAUGCCUGACCUGGAAGGGUGUGAAAGAAUUUAGAAACUUCUACAGUUAACUGUCAUCAGUUAUUUUAACUGUUUUUUUUUAUGGACAUGCUCACUCAGCUAUUUUUAUUGAUUCUGCUGAAUCUAACUAAGAAUGGAUGUAUUGGCAGUAAAAAUGCAUAUUCUCACACAGUUGCAUUGUCUCCUCUUGCUGCUCAGUAGGUGCCUCCAAACACCACUCCCCAUUGGUACAUAACUGCAGUUGGAAAACACAAGAGCUAUUAGGAGUGUUCUGAUUAAUUAAAAUGUGGUGUCAAUAAACAAGUUCACAGAUGUAUUAGCCAGGUAUUUACCCAGUCAUAAAUGUAUUAUUUUUUAAAUUGAUCUUAAUACAUUUAAGCUUUCAAAAUGAAACUUCCCUGUAAAUAUUCUUACUGCUAUUUAAAAUCUAAACUUUAAAAAAGAAAAAAACAACCUUUUUUGGUUUUUUUACAGGAUCAAAACUAACUGAAAUUUUUUUAAAAGCAGGUUAAAAGCAUAAUAUUCUUUAUCUGUCCCCUGCAGAUCACAGAAUAACAAUAUAUAUUUUUUCUAGUUACCAGUUGCUGUGAAAAAUUAAAGAUCUAAACCUGUGCUUCUAAAGAUCUAAACCUGUGCUUCUAGCAGCACAGUACAGCUGCAUUAGUUGUACCAUAUUAAAUUACAAAUUUGUUCAGGUUUGAGCACGGGUUAUGUUGCCUGCACUGCCCUGUGCAAAACUAUGAAGAGAUUCCUGCUUAAGGCUGCACAAACUGGAAAGGGAAAACUUAUACACAUGUGUUGAAGCUCUAUUUUAGGUUAAGAUCUAAUUCUAGUAUCACUCAAGGCCCAUGUAGAAGUCAAGAGCAGAUCCUCCAAAAGAAGAUUAUUGAAAAACAGCAAGCACAGCCUGAGGUACUGAUAAGAGUCAGAGUUCUUUAUCCCUGUGCUCUGGUCUGAUGUUUGUGCUGUAAAUGAGAAUUCCCAUAGGGCAGCAUUCUCCAGGUAUCUUUAAGAAAUAAAAUAAAAAAUCAUUUGUACACAAAAGGUUGUAUGAUCUGCUCUUGGGAUCUGCAGAAAUGCUGCAUUUUGGUAGUCACUUCUGCCUUGCACCUGGUAAGGAUCAUAAAAGUGUGUGUGCGUGAGCUUGUUCUAUUCUUACAAGGACCAUGAGACACAAGGUUAUUUGGGCUCACCCAUCCUUGAAAGGAUUUUUAGGUUCUUUGGUUACAUGCUAAGUAGCCUAGAACGCUUGACCUGGAAGCUGUGUGUUGCAGCUGCUGCAUCAGACACUUUCCUGAGUAAUCAGCCAUGGAAUUACUGGCCAACUAAAACGGCCUGGGACAUAAGCCCAAUUUCUGGCUACUGAUCAUCCAUACCAUAAAGGGUUAAUGCACUCUGACAGCUAAAGCCUGGGCAGCAGUUUAAUAUUUGGGCAUGGUUUAAAAGUUAAGGUGGAUGAGAGCUUAGCUGUGGGAUUGCAAGCUGUGCUCUCCAUAUUUGCCUUACAGCUGGAGAACAGCCCAUGACCUGUCCCAUCAGCUGCGUGCCUGUGGCCAUUGUGUCUGUGGUUUGCUGUGCUCUCCCCUCCUGGGAAAGAUGCCCAGAGCUGGAGAAGAACAUUCUGUGACCUAGUGACAUGCUGUCUGCCUUUGGAGAUGGGCUUAGUGCAUUGGUCUUCUUGUACUCAUUGGUUUUACAUGGAUGUGCUGGGAGGAACGGAAGUCCAGAUGUGGCCUCAGUGUGGUUCUGCAAUGACUAUAACUGGAACAGAAGCAGGCAGGGUUUUUACAUACCAGGAAAAUUUAGGAAUCAACACAACUUUCCUUGUGGUGAGAAGCUGUCAAACUUCCAGGUAUGUGCAGAGAAGCUCCUCAUGGAAAUCUAAGUCACCAAGUAAGUACAUGCAAGUGUUCUUGGCAAGAGUAUUUUUUUAAUCAAUGUUUUACAUGAUUAAAAAUCAUGAUUAAAACAUCCCCACUGGUUUCAUGUAUCUUCUCACAGAAUUCAGAAUAUUCUGAAUUGGAAGGGACCCACAAGGAUCAUUGAGUCUGACUCUUAAGUGAAUAGCCCAUGCAGGGAUUAAAUUCCUGACUUGGUCUCAUUAGCACAAUGCUCUACCCAAUUGAGCUAAUCUCAGGGUUUUCCUGGGCAUGCCACUUUUGGCUUUGAUAUUAGGGCUAAUAAUGGGGCUUUAUUUGGAGGAAUUGUGUGUCAGACUCUGUGCUUCCUGCUUUCUAUGUAAAAUUUCAAAGGAUCAAAUAACUGCAACUCUGGGUCAGCUGUGAUUUUAAGUAAGGGUGCAAAUCUGUUCACUCCGUUAUUCCUAGUCUUUUUAUUGGUUUUGCUUCCAUUUUAUGGAGGAAAAAGUUAAAUGCAUAAAAAAGUUUUCCUCUAAAAAUGGGCCUGAAAGCAGGACUUAGUUUCUCAGGAGUUUGCCACCUACAGUUAGUCAGAUUGACUGGCUGAGAAUUAAAAUAAAACACAAGAAGUUCCACCUCAACAUGAAGAAUAAUUUCUUUACACUGAGGGUGGCAGAGCACUGGAACAGGCUGCCCAGGGUGUUCAUGGAUUUCCCUCUCUGGAGAAUUCCAAACCCACCUGGGCAUGUUCCUGAGUAACCUGCUCUAAGCGACCCAGCUCCUGGCAGGGGAGUUGGACUGGAUAAUCUCCAGAGGUCCCUUGCAAACGUAAUGGUUCUGUGAUUUUUCAUUAGUUCCAGAGAACAAGUGCAUUUAUGAAAUUCAGGUAAUAUUCUGGACCACAUCUGUACUAUAAACAUAACACUGAAAAACCUUCUAUAAACAACAUGCUUUGGUGCAAAUCCUCCAAAACUGGAAAAAUUGGAAAUGUGAAAAAAUGCUCCCCAGGGGUGCUUUUGAGAAUAUUCACUGCCCAGCUGACAGCUAUGUUCUUGGAAAAAGUUA